CUGCGAUGUGAUCAGGAUUGUCUGAGGGGCUUGGAUUCGGACGCGAUUUGCUGUGCGGACAGCGGGAUUGGGGUGGACCAGGCAGGUGGAGAUGCGGAGCCAGAUCGGAGCUGCUGAAGCAGCUUGAGUGAAUUCUCCAGGUACUCAUCUGCUGUGAUGGACUGUCCAUCUGCUUCCAAGUCGAGGGAGAAAUCCCUCAGUGUCCAUACGAAGUCUGGAAAGAAGCUCACAAAGUCAGCUGAAUCCUCAACCCCAUCCACAUCAGGUCUCUCACUUCCUCUCCUCACAUCACUGUGCUGCGUGCUGGGGGUGUGGAUGGACAGAAGGGACUUGGCUCGGCUCUGCUGGUGCCACUCACCCUUUUUCUUCCCGGCCAGCUUGUUC